rnacentral:rRNA from 1 species
UACGAAGGGUGCAAGCGUUACUCGGAAUUACUGGGCGUAAAGCGUGCGUAGGUGGUUUGUUAAGUCUGUUGUGAAAGCCCCGGGCUCAACCUGGGAAUGGCAAUGGAUACUGGCAGGCUAGAGUGCGGUAGAGGGUAGUGGAAUUCCCGGUGUAGCGGUGAAAUGCGUAGAGAUCGGGAGGAACACCAGUGGCGAAGGCGACUUCCUGGCCUGUUCUUGACGCUGAGGCGCGAAAGCUAGGGGAGCAAACGGG